UACGUAGGGGCCAAGCGUUGUCCGGAAUUAUUGGGCGUAAAGGGCGUGUAGGCGGCCCGAUAAGUCAGAUGUUAAAUCUGCAGGCUCAACCUGUAGCCGCAUUUGAUACUGUCGGGCUAGAGAAUGGUAGAGGAAAGUGGAACUUACGGUGUAGCGGUGAAAUGCGUAGAUAUCGUAAGGAACACCAGUGGCGAAGGCGACUUUCUGGGCCAUUUCUGACGCUGAGACGCGAAAGCCAGGGGAGCAAACGGG
rnacentral:rRNA from 1 species